rnacentral:tRNA from 1 species
GCCCGGGUGGCGAAACUGGUAGACGCAAGAGACUUAAAAUCUCUCGGAGCUUGCUCCGUGCCGGUUCGAUUCCGGCUCCGGGCACCA